rnacentral:lncRNA from 1 species
UGAAAAACAAUUUUUGAAAGUGUUUUAGUAUCUACGGAUUGCGAGAAUUACAAAAAAAUACCGCCACAUGUACCGCCCAUUGGGCUAUUCAAGCAAUAAUAAUAAAAAUCCGUCAGAAGGCGGCUGUGUAUCACUGCGGAACACUAUUGAAGCUGCAAAGAGCAGUAUUAUGCAGAUUUAAGGCAAAUUCGGGUAUUCGGUGGUAGUACUCGAACCGCAGGUGCGAAAUGUCUUUCGCCAUCAUAGUUCGGCACAGACAUACUCAAGAACAAGAGUUUCCCGACUUGUUUCAGCUCUUUAUGAGCGCCGUGGAUGUACACAGACGCCCUCUGUCGGAUUCUUCUUGUUUGAAUAACCCAAUCGGCGGUACAGUCGGCCAGAUUGGCCGCGUGGAAACGCUUCAGCUUUCCACUCUGAAGGGGUCCCCGG